rnacentral:rRNA from 1 species
CCUACGGGUGGCAGCAGUGGGGAAUAUUGCACAAUGGGGGAAACCCUGAUGCAGCGAAGCCGCGUGAGUGAAGAAGUACUUCGGUAUGUAAAGCUCUAUCAGCAGGGAAGAAAAUGACGGUACCUGAUUAAGAAGCCCCGGCUAACUACGUGCCAGCAGCCGGGGUAAUACGGAGGGGGCAAGCGUUAUCCGGAUUUACUGGGUGUAAAGGGAGCGUAGACGGGAGUACAAGUCUGGAGUGAAAUGCCGGGGCUUAACCCCGGAAGUGCCUUGGAAACUGGGCAGCUAGAGUGCAGGAGAGGUAAGUGGAAUGCGUGGUGUAGCGGUGAAAUGCGUAGAUAUUAGGAGGAACACCAGUGGCGAAGGCGGCUUACUGGACUGUAACUGACGUUGAGGCACGAAAGCGUGGGUAGCAAACAGGAUUAGAUACCCGGGUAGUC